CCCUAGCCCCGAUAGAAGUGGAAAUCCUUUUGCUUUUUCCUUUAAAAAGCAAAAGAUUGAAACCAAUAGCGGGAGAAAGC
rnacentral:sRNA from 1 species